GCCCGCGUGGCUCAGUGGUAAAGCGUGGCUCUCGUAAUAUUAUGAGUUCAAGCUAAGAUCGAGUGUUCGAUUCACUCCGUGGGCA